rnacentral:rRNA from 1 species
GUGCCAGCAGCCGCGGUAAUACGUAGGGUCCGAGCGUUGUCCGGAAUUACUGGGCGUAAAGAGCUCGUAGGUGGUUUGUCGCGUUGUUCGUGAAAACUCACGACUUAAUUGUGGGCGUGCGGGCGAUACGGGCAGACUGGAGUACUGCAGGGGAGACUGGAAUUCCU